rnacentral:lncRNA from 1 species
GGUAGAGAUCUAAGGACUUUUCUCAUAAGAUCACUGUUAGAAUAACACUUACCAAGACUUUUUAGAUCAUUUAUGAUGCCAGUGAAAUGAGUAAAUAUUUGAGUUAUUGACUCUUCAAGUUUUAUUUUAAAUAAUUUAUAGUUGUGCGCAAGCAUAUUAAUUUUAGACUCUUUUACUCAGUUUGUGCCUUUAUGUGUGACUUCUAACCUAUCCCAAAUAUUUUUAGCUAAAUUACAAGUAGAAAUAUGGUUA